rnacentral:rRNA from 1 species
UAGUAACGCGUGGGUAACCUGCCCUGUACAGGGGGAUAACAGCUGGAAACGGCUGCUAAUACCGCAUAAGCGCACGAGGAGACAUCUCCUUGUGUGAAAAACUCCGGUGGUACAGGAUGGGCCCGCGUCUGAUUAGCUGGUUGGCAGGGUAACGGCCUACCAAGGCAACGAUCAGUAGCCGGUCUGAGAGGAUGAACGGCCACAUUGGAACUGAGACACGGUCCAAACUCCUACGGGAGGCAGCAGUGGGGAAUAUUGCACAAUGGGGGAAACCCUGAUGCAGCAACGCCGCGUGAGUGAAGAAGUAUUUCGGUAUGUAAAGCUCUAUCAGCAGGGAAGAUAAUGACGGUACCUGACUAAGAAGCUCCGGCUAAAUACGUGCCAGCAGCCGCGGUAAUACGUAUGGAGCAAGCGUUAUCCGGAUUUACUGGGUGUAAAGGGUGCGUAGGUGGCAGUGCAAGUCAGAUGUGAAAGGCCGGGGCUCAACCCCGGAGCUGCAUUUGAAACUGCAUAGCUAGAGUACAGGAGAGGCAGGCGGAAUUCCUAGUGUAGCGGUGAAAUGCGUAGAUAUUAGGAGGAACACCAGUGGCGAAGGCGGCCUGCUGGACUGUUACUGACACUGAGGCACGAAAGCGUGGGGAGCAAACAGGAUUAGAUACCCU